UGUGAGCCCACCAAGAGUUGCUUCAUUAGAACAAAAGAUGAUCCUAUCAUCCAGGAAAUUGCCAAGGAUUUAGGAGAUCUGUGUCAGGAACUGAGGUCAAAGUCCAAAUAUUGGAACAGAAGAUUCUCUUAGUACCCCUAUCUAUAAAAGUUUCAGGAGCCGUAUGUCAAGAACUGAAGGAAAAAAACAAAUAGAUAUUUCUUCUUAUAUUACAACAGUACAGAUAUUCAACAAGGGCAGUCCUGAACAAAAUUUUAAAAAAUAUAUCUGAAAAUACAAAGAACCAAGAAUAGUGAAGAUACCAUUAGAGAAGAAUAACAGAGCUAAUGAACUUUUCUUAAUCAUGAGAUUUGUCAUCAAGGGUAUAAAGUUGGAAAACAUUAUAGAAAAACUACUUUUUGUUUUUGAUUGUGAAAAUCUCUACUGACAUAGAAGGCAUGGCAACAUGAUCAAUCAGUUGCACAAUUGGGCUCUAGGAAGAGUUCAAAUGAGUAGAGAUGUUUCUCAAGAGUUA
rnacentral:lncRNA from 1 species